rnacentral:lncRNA from 1 species
CACGCCCAUGUGCAGUUAACAGGCGAUCUAAAUUAGCACAUGGGCAUGCGCUAGCUUGUCUCUAACUAUUCACAACUUUUAGGGUGUGGAGUACAUUGUUCGCCUUUUAAACUGAAACUAUCUGAAAUCAAAGCAGGCACAUUCUGGUCUGCCGCAGUUUUUGCCAAAUCGGUUUGACGUGUCUGUGAAGGAGAAAUGAAGGACCGUGUUGCACAACUUUUGAACUCGUUUAACCCUUCUGUUGUUGCAGCGUUUUAUUUGUCAGUUUGUUUUUCUGUCGCAACACUGAGGAUCUAAACAACCCCACAGAGUACAGCCCAACAGACAGGAAGCAGGAAUGAUCGCCAACACUGAGGUCACAAGCGAGCCUAACCCAAAGACCAAGGCCCUCUCUACAGUCGGCAAAGCUCCUUCCUCAGAGUCACAGGAAGCAGACUCCACACAGAACGCUGGUGUGUUCAGAGGGGUCAUGCAAAACGUCAACCCAUUCAAGUCUACCCACCAGGUCUUUAAAGCUGCAUCUUCAGAGUCACUGGAACAGGGACGGGUUUCAGACACUAAUCAGAACCCGGGUAUGUUAAAAGGUGUGAUGCAGAAAGUCAACCCGUUCAAGCCUUCAGCACAGGUGCUAAAGAGCGAGCCUCAAAAUGAUGCUGCCGAUCCACCAGAGAAGGGAAAAGAACUUCAAGGCAAACAGAAUCCAUCGAUGAUUGCAGCAAUGAUACAGAAAGUCAACCCAUUCAAAUCCUCACAGCCACAGCAUAAGCAGCCUCUACACACUGACCUUUCCUCCAGCACUGGAAGCUUAGCAGACAGUAACAGCGUGCCAGAGAAGCAGGUAGAUCUGUGCAAUUGAGCAGACCCCAUGAAGCCUUUUCCUAGCUGAUCAUGUAGGUGUUAAGCAUAAAGUAACAUGUUAACAUUUUAUGCAUGUCAACUACCUAAUAUGUAGUCUUUAAAGCAAGAGUUUG